rnacentral:rRNA from 1 species
CACGCCGUAAACGAUCAAUACUAGGUGUGCGGGGACUGACCCCCUGCGUGCCGGAGUUAACACAAUAAGUAUUGCACCUGGGGAGUACGAUCGCAAGGUUGAAACUCAAAGGAAUUGACGGGGGCCCGCACAAGCGGUGGAUUAUGUGGUUUAAUUCGAAGCAACGCGAAGAACCUUACCAGGGCUUGACAUCCUACUAACGAAGUAGAGAUACAUCAGGUGCCCUUCGGGGAAAGUAGAGACAGGUGG